UACACACGGAUAACAUACCGAAAGGUAUGCUAAUACGGGAUAAUAUAUUUGAGAGGCAUCUCUUAAAUAUCAAAGGUGAGCCAGUACAGGAUGGACCCGCGUCUGAUUAGCUAGUUGGUAAGGUAACGGCUUACCAAGGCGACGAUCAGUAGCCGACCUGAGAGGGUGAUCGGCCACAUUGGAACUGAGACACGGUCCAAACUCCUACGGGAGGCAGCAGUGGGGAAUAUUGCACAAUGGGCGAAAGCCUGAUGCAGCAACGCCGCGUGAGUGAUGAAGGCCUUCGGGUCGUAAAACUCUGUCCUCAAGGAAGAUAAUGACGGUACUUGAGGAGGAAGCCCCGGCUAACUACGCGCCAGCAGCCGCGGUAAUACGUAGGGGGCUAGCGUUAUCCGGAUUUACUGGGCGUAAAGGGUGCGUAGGCGGUCUUUCAAGUCAGGAGUGAAAGGCUACGGCUCAACCGUAGUAAGCUCUUGAAACUGGGAGACUUGAGUGCAGGAGAGGAGAGUGGAAUUCCUAGUGUAGCGGUGAAAUGCGUAGAUAUUAGGAGGAACACCAGUUGCGAAGGCGGCUCUCUGGACUGUAACUGACGCUGAGGCACGAAAGCGUGGGGAGCAAACAGGAUUAGAUACCCUGGUAGUCCACGCUGUAAACGAUGAGUACUAGGUGUCGGGGGUUACCCCCUUCGGUGCCGCAGC
rnacentral:rRNA from 1 species